GUCGCCAUCACCAUGGACAUGUGAGCAGACUAUGCAGUGAGGGAUCCACAGUAGCAGCACUUGCCAGCAACAUGACUGAGAAGAGUCAAGACUUCGGCAAGCUUGUCAUUAAGGCCAGCCUGGACAGGACGUCCGUGUCCUGCCAUCAACAACGCGGACCUGACGUUUGAUGAACUCGUCUUGAUGAUGCAGCGCGUCUUCCGGGACAAGAUUACAUCAACCGGCAACACGGCCGAGUUCACCAUCAAGUGUAAGGUAGUGACGUCACCAUCAAGUGUAAGGUAGUGUUGUCACCAUCCUCUGGGUCUGCAGUACUCGGGGCUGGUGCUCUGGGUCUGCCGUACACCUCCAUCGGGGGACCACUUACCCCUCCCCCCUUGAACAAAGGCCCCUGCAAAAACCCGGCAGUUAUCCGAGAGGCCGGUGUUGUCUAUAAAUUUUGCUUCAAAGAAGGUUGUAGACUUCUUCAUGUUUUAGACAACAUCGGACAAAUUGGACUAACA
rnacentral:lncRNA from 1 species